rnacentral:rRNA from 1 species
CGAUGAAGGGGAGCUUGCUUCCUGGAUUAGUGGCGAACGGGUGAGUAACACGUGAGUAACCUGCCCUUGACUCUGGGAUAAGCACUGGAAACGGUGUCUAAUACCGGAUACGAGCUUCAACCGCAUGGUUAGGAGCUGGAAAGAAUUUUGGUCAAGGAUGGACUCGCGGCCUAUCAGGUAGUUGGUGAGGUAAUGGCUCACCAAGCCUACGACGGGUAGCCGGCCUGAGAGGGUGACCGGCCACACUGGGACUGAGACACGGCCCAGACUCCUACGGGAGGCAGCAGUGGGGAAUAUUGCACAAUGGGCGCAAGCCUGAUGCAGCAACGCCGCGUGAGGGACGACGGCCUUCGGGUUGUAAACCUCUUUUAGUAGGGAAGAAGCGAAAGUGACGGUACCUGCAGAAAAAGCACCGGCUAACUACGUGCCAGCAGCCGCGGUAAUACGUAGGGUGCAAGCGUUGUCCGGAAUUAUUGGGCGUAAAGAGCUCGUAGGCGGUUUGUCGCGUCUGCUGUGAAAUCUGGAGGCUCAACCCCCAGCCUGCAGUGGGUACGGGCAGACUAGAGUGCGGUAGGGGAGAUUGGAAUUCCUGGUGUAGCGGUGGAAUGCGCAGAUAUCAGGAGGAACACCGAUGGCGAAGGCAGAUCUCUGGGCCGUAACUGACGCUGAGGAGCGAAAGCAUGGGGAGCGAACAGGAUUAGAUACCCUGGUAGUCCAUGCCGUAAACGUUGGGAACUAGAUGUAGGGGCCAUUCCACGGCUUCUGUGUCGCAGCUAACGCAUUAAGUUCCCCGCCUGGGGAGUACGG